GACGAACGCUGGCGGCGUGCCUAACACAUGCAAGUCGAACGAGGUCCAUGCAGUGGCAACACUGCGGAAGACCUAGUGGCGCACGGGUGAGUAACACGUAGGUGACCUACCUCGUAGUUGGGGAUAACAGCGGGAAACCACUGCUAAUACCGAAUGUGUUGUGUGACAUUAGAAAAGCACAACAAAGAAUGCCUCUACUUGUAAGCAUUCGCUAUGAGAUGGGCCUGCGCGGCAUUGGCUAGUUGGUGGGGUAAUGGCCUACCAAGGCAACGAUGCCUAGCUGGUCUGAGAGGAUGAUCAGCCACACUGGAACUGAGACACGGUCCAGACUCCUACGGAGGCAGCAGUAGGGAAGUAUCGCGCAAUGGGGGAAACCCUGACGCAGCAACGCCACGUGAGUGAG
rnacentral:rRNA from 1 species